rnacentral:rRNA from 1 species
AAUUUUGGACAAUGGAGGAAACCAUGAUCCAGCCAUCCCGCGUGUGUGAUGAAGGCCUGCGGGUUGUAAAGUACUCUUGGUUGAGAAGGAAAGGAAUCCCCUAAUACGGGAUACCGCUGACGGUAUAUUCAGAAUAAGCACCGGCUAACUAAGGGCCAGUGGCAGCGGUAUUACGGAGGGUGCAAGCGUUAAUCGGAAUUACUGGGCGUAAAGCGUGCGUAGGCGGUUCGGAAAGAAAGAGGUGAAAGCCCAGGGCUCAACCUUAGAACUGCAUUUUUAACUGCCGCGCUAGAGUAUGUGAGAGGGGGGUAGAAUUCCACGUGUAGCAGUGAAAUGCGUAGAUAUGUGGAGGAAUACCGAUGGCGAAGGCAGCCCCCUGGGAUAAUACUGACGCUCAGACACGAAAGCGUGGGGAGCAAACAGG